rnacentral:rRNA from 1 species
GGGUGACGAGCGGCGGACGGGUGAGUAAUGUCUGGGAAACUGCCUGAUGGAGGGGGAUAACUACUGGAAACGGUAGCUAAUACCGCAUAACGUCGCAAGACCAAAGAGGGGGACCUUCGGGCCUCUUGCCAUCAGAUGUGCCCAGAUGGGAUUAGCUAGUAGGUGGGGUAACGGCUCACCUAGGCGACGAUCCCUAGCUGGUCUGAGAGGAUGACCAGCCACACUGGAACUGAGACACGGUCCAGACUCCUACGGGAGGCAGCAGUGGGGAAUAUUGCACAAUGGGCGCAAGCCUGAUGCAGCCAUGCCGCGUGUAUGAAGAAGGCCUUCGGGUUGUAAAGUACUUUCAGCGGGGAGGAAGGUGUUGAGGUUAAUAACCUCGGCAAUUGACGUUACCCGCAGAAGAAGCACCGGCUAACUCCGUGCCAGCAGCCGCGGUAAUAC